UUUUGGUUUAAAGAUGCUUUCCUUCUUUCUUUUAGCUACCCUCCUGGCUUUGAGCACAGCCCAGCAAGAGCUUCAAGCCCAAGGUGUUUGGCAAGACCAGCAUCAGCAAGGGCAAGAAAGUCAACUCAGACAACCAAAUAUUGGAUGAAGAAAUGGAUUUAGAAGGAGG